CCUACGGGAGGCAGCAGUGAGGAAUAUUGGUCAAUGGACGAGAGUCUGAACCAGCCAAGUAGCGUGAAGGAUGACUGCCCUAUGGGUUGUAAACUUCUUUUAUAAAGGAAUAAAACGAGGCACGUGUGCCUUUUUGCAUGUACUUUAUGAAUAAGGAUCGGCUAACUCAGUGCCAGCAGCCGCGGUAAUACGGAGGAUCCGAGCGUUAUCCGGAUUUAUUGGGUUUAAAGGGAGCGUAGAUGGGUUGUUAAGUCAGUUGUGAAAGUUUGCGGCUCAACCGUAAAAUUGCAAUUGAUACUGGCAGUCGUGAGUACAGUUGAGGUAGGCGGAAUUCGUGGUGUAGCGGUGAAAUGCUUAGAUAUCACGAAGAACCCCGAUUGCGAAGGCAGCUUACUAAACUGUGACUGACAUUGAUGCUCGAAAGUGUGGGUAUCAAACAGGAUUAGAUACCCUUGUAGUC
rnacentral:rRNA from 1 species